rnacentral:rRNA from 1 species
AUGAACGCUGGCGGCGUGCCUAAUACAUGCAAGUCGCGCGAACAGACGAGGAGCUUGCUCCUCUGACGUUAGCGGCGGCCGGGUGAGUAACACGUGGAUAACCUACCUAUAAGACUGGGAUAACUUCGGGAAACCGGAGCUAAUACCGGAUAAUAUAUUGAACCGCAUGGUUCAAUAGUGAAAGACGGUUUUGCUGUCACUUAUAGAUGGAUCCGCGCCGCAUUAGCUAGUUGGUAAGGUAACGGCUUACCAAGGCAACGAUGCGUAGCCGACCUGAGAGGGUGAUCGGCCACACUGGAACUGAGACACGGUCCACACUCCUACGGGAGGCAGCAGUAGGGAAUCUUCCGCAAUGGGCGAAAGCCUGACGGAGCAACGCCGCGUGAGUGAUGAAGGUCUUCGGAUCGUAAAACUCUGUUAUUAGGGAAGAACAAAUGUGUAAGUAACUAUGCACGUCUUGACGGUACCUAAUCAGAAAGCCACGGCUAACUACGUG